GUCCCCAUUUAGAUCAAUUCAGUAAAUACCACCAACUUCAACAAAUUAUGUUUGGAUCUAUCGAAUUCAGAGCAAUAUUUAUAAAGCACCUUGUUUCAUGGCUUGAAGAGAGAGGGAGAAAAAAGAGUGAGGUGGAAGUCCAAGUUGGAUAGAAAAACCACCUGUUCUAGUAAAAGAACUUCCCUUUUCUAUUUUCUUCUCUUUCUUUUCUCUAAAUGAUAAACGGCUGAGAUCAAGUGAGAGAAAUAUUGAAACAGACAGAGAG